rnacentral:miRNA from 1 species
CUGGGAGAGGGGUGUUUACACU